rnacentral:tRNA from 1 species
GCCUGCCUGGUUCAAUGGCAGAACCCCGUCGCGCCACGGCGGAGAUAUCGGUUCGAAUCCGAUGGUGGGCU